rnacentral:other from 1 species
AUUUUCCUGCUCGGUGCGUGAUGGGCUUUAUUUAAACCCACAUUUCUGAAACGGGACGCUGGACUCACGGUAGCGACCGCAGGCCUCCCGGCUCCCCUCCGCGGGGUGCUGGAAGUUGGAAGCGACGAACUAUCGUGGAGGCGACCCACCUGCCAUCUCGUGCAGGUUUUAGAUGAGUCCGCACGGCCAGAGCGGGGCCGCC